UACGUAGGGUGCGAGCGUUAAUCGGAAUUACUGGGCGUAAAGGGCGCGUAGGCGGUCUGCUAAGUUGGAUGUGAAAACUCUGGGCUUAACCCAGAGCCUGCAUUCAAUACUGACAGGCUAGAGUUCUGGAAGGGAUAGCGGAAUUCCUGGUGUAGCGGUGAAAUGCGUAGAUAUCAGGAGGAACACCGGUGGCGAAGGCGGCUAUCUGGACAGAAACUGACGCUGAGGCGCGAAAGCUAGGGGAGCAAACAGG
rnacentral:rRNA from 1 species